UGUCCUCAAAACUGCUGCUUAGAGCUUUGUGGUAUUCCACCUUCCUCCCCCAUUUGUUGUGGGUCAUUAAUCCCUUUCUGUUCUUCUUCCUAGUAUCAUCCUUGCUUAGCUUGCAGCGGUAUGUUUUUGUAUUUUGUUCUUCAUUUAUUUCCCUCAAUUUUUGACUUCCUCCAUUUCAAUGAUGGAGACUUAAUCCGGUGAUGUAGUGGUUGCCUAAGAUAGUUCUUUGUAGAGGUGCCUAGUCCUGUGGUCUGACUCUCAAUUCCUUGAUAAAGAUGAUUUGGUUGGAUAUGUUCCUCCAGUAAGACUUGAUGCUGCAUUUUCUAUGUGGAAUCUAAAAAAGAGUUGGUCGUUGAUUCUUCAGGAGAGAGAUGAUUUGGCUGGAUAUGUUCCUCCAGUGAGACUUGAUGCUGCAUUUUCUAUGUGGAAUCCCAAAAAGAGUUGGUCGUUGAUUCUUCAGGUUUUUCCUUUUUGAUGAUAUUCUAUAAAGUGGCUAAUUCUUUUUAUAAGAAGUAACACUUUUGAUCUAGUAAAUUUUGAAUAAUUGAAAAGAAAUCUUCAAUUGUGUAUGAAUAUUGAGCAAAAUUAUUUUUUGUUUCAAAUCUUCUGAAACCCCAUUUUCAUGAUA